rnacentral:rRNA from 1 species
UACGUAGGGGGCAAGCGUUGUCCGGAAUCAUUGGGCGUAAAGAGCGUGUAGGCGGCCCGAUAAGUCCGCUGUGAAAGUCCAGGGCUCAACCCUGGGAUGCCGGUGGAUACUGUCGGGCUCGAGUCCGGAAGAGGCGAGUGGAAUUCCUGGUGUAGCGGUGGAAUGCGCAGAUAUCAGGAGGAACACCAAUAGCGAAGGCAGCUCGCUGGGACGGUAUUGACGCUGAGGCGCGAAAGCGUGGGGAGCAAACAGG